rnacentral:rRNA from 1 species
UACGGAGGGAGCUAGCGUUGUUCGGAAUUACUGGGCGUAAAGGGCGCGUAGGCGGCGUGACAAGUCACUUGUGAAAUCUCCGGGCUUAACUCGGAACGGUCAAGUGAUACUGUCGGACUAGAGUACAGAAGGGGCAACUGGAAUUCUCGGUGUAGCGGUGAAAUGCGUAGAUAUCGAGAGGAACACCUGCGGCGAAGGCGGGUUGCUGGGCUGAUACUGACGCUGAGGCGCGAAAGCCAGGGGAGCGAACGGG